rnacentral:lncRNA from 1 species
AUGGUUCACAUCAGUUGUAUCUGCAGUGCGCUGUGCAGUCUGCAAGGAAAACUCUGUCAGGAAUCGUCAGCGACCCUUUCUCGACAUUAUCAACAAGGAAUUCACAUAUUAACAACCCCUGCUCUCAAAAUGAGGACACCAUUAUCCAUGGUGAUGGAACCUUUGGUGAAGGAGGAGGAGGAGGAGGAGUUGAAGCAUCUCCUACCUGAGAUCACCGAUAUUGUGCAGGUCUAUCCAGAGGUUGCAGGACUGGUGCACUGGGCGACUUACCCUGUGACAUCAUCUACUCAUGUUUGUAGAUGUCCUCCUCCACCAUUAACAGACCUCAAAUUUUACAGCAGUCCAUUCUUCCCACCUGAGUGUUUUCCUUCUUUUGAAGAACGAGAUGAGUUGGAUGAGUUAUUGGCUAUCAUGCCACCAGAGGCCCUGGAACCCGUCCCAGUUCCAAAGAAAAGAAAACACGAGAAGGAUAAGGGGACGUAUGUAAAGAAACCUCCCAACGCAUUUAUGCUGUUCUUAAAAAGCGAGAGGAAGACAGUCCAGGAAGAGCUCGGCAUUAAGAACAGUGCUGCAGUCAAUCGAGUUCUUUCUGAACGCUGGAAGUCUUUGGCUGAAGACAAAAGGCAGAUCUUCCAAGCUGAAGCCCAAGUGGAAGCUCAUAUACACGCUCUCAAUAACCCAGGCUGGAGCAACAAAGUGAAUUACGUAAGUCUACUGCGCAGAAAUGUUUACCCAUCAACCUUAGAGGUGAUGACAUCAU